CCGGAAGACCAAGGGUUCCUGUCCAACGUUAAUCGGGGCAGGGUGAGUCGACCCCUAAGGCGAGGCCGAAAGGCGUAGUCGAUGGGAAACAGGUUAAUAUUCCUGUACUUGGUGUUACUGCGAAGGGGGGACGGAGAAGGCUAUGUUAGCCGGGCGACGGUUGUCCCGGUUUAAGCAUGUAGGCGGGAAGUUUAGGUAAAUCCGGACUUCUUUUAACGCUGAGGUG
rnacentral:rRNA from 1 species